rnacentral:lncRNA from 1 species
GUCUUUGGCUCUCCAUGGGGAUCUAUUGGGUCUCUAUGGGGUUCUAUGGGGUCUCUAUGGGGUUCUAUGGGGUCUCUUUGGUUCUCCAUGGGGAUCUAUUGGGUCUCUAUGGGGUCCCUAUGGGGUUCUAUGGGGUCUCAAUGGGGGUUUAUGGGGUCUCUGGUUCUCCAUGGGGAUCUAUGGGGUCUCUAUGGGGUCCCUAUGGGGUCUCUAUGGUUCUCCAUGGUUCUCCAUGGAUCUGUUGGGUCUCUAUGGAGUCUCUCUAUGGAAUCUCAUGGGAUUCUGCGUUGGGGGUCCCUACUGGGCUCUAUGGAGUCUCUAUG